AUGGAGAGUUCUUCUAAGCUACCCCUUAAUCUCUGCCAUGUCCACAAACUUUCAAUCGUCAUCAACCAGACACAUAUAUUCUUCCACUCUAUAGCUUUAGUCUUCUUACUUUACUACAGAGCUUCUUUCUUCUUCUUCCAAGACUCUACCAAAACCAAAGCAACCACCGUAGCAUGGCUUCUUGUGUUUGUCUCAGAAAUCCUCCUAUCCUUCGAGUGGCUCCUCGGCCAGUCUUCUCGGUGGCGUCCCGUUUCGCGAAUCGCGUUCCCGGAGAGGCUGCCUGCCGAUGAUAAGCUCCCGGCUGUUGAUGUGUUCAUCUGCACUGCGGAUCCGGAGAAGGAACCGACUGUGGGGGUGAUGAACACUAUGUUAUCUGCCAUGGCAAUGGACUAUCCGCCAGAGAAACUUCAUGUGUAUCUGUCCGAUGAUGGUGGUGCUGCUGUGACUUUGAAGGAAGAGGAAGAUGCUGAUUUUGGCGGCAGCGAGUUCAUUCAAGACAGAGAAGAUAUUAAGGAGAAAUAUGAGGCAUUCAAGAAAAAA
rnacentral:lncRNA from 1 species